GACUCUCGRCAACGGAUAUCUCGGCUCACGCAUCGAUGAAGAACGUAGCAAAAUGCGAUACUUGGUGUGAAUUGCAGAAUCCCGUGAACCAUCGAGUUUUUGAACGCAAGUUGCGCCCAAAGCCUUUUGGCCGAGGGCACGUCUGCCUGGGCGUCAUAC
rnacentral:rRNA from 1 species